rnacentral:rRNA from 1 species
AUUGAACGCUGGCGGCAUGCUUUACACAUGCAAGUCGAACGGUAACAGGUUAAGCUGACGAGUGGCGAACGGGUGAGUAAUGCAUCGGAACGUGCCCGGUCGUGGGGGAUAACGCAGCGAAAGCUGCGCUAAUACCGCAUACGAUCUGAGGAUGAAAGCGGGGGACCGUAAGGCCUCGUGCGAUCGGAGCGGCCGAUGUCAGAUUAGGUAGUUGGUGGGGUAAAGGCUCACCAAGCCAACGAUCUGUAGCUGGUCUGAGAGGACGACCAGCCACACUGGGACUGGGACACGGCCCAGACUCCUACGGGAGGCAGCAGUGGGGAAUUUUGGACAAUGGGCGAAAGCCUGAUCCAGCAAUGCCGCGUGCAGGAAGAAGGCCUUCGGGUUGUAAACUGCUUUUGUACGGAGCGAAAAGGUCUCCUCUAAUACAGGGGGCUCAUGACGGUACCGUAAGAAUAAGCACCGGCUAACUACGUGCCAGCCGCCGCGGUAA